rnacentral:lncRNA from 1 species
AUUUAUAUCCGUAUAUCGUGGGGGGGGGCAUCCCAGUGUGACCCCAGUGGGUGAAUGUCACCUGCCGGUGACACCCAGGCCCCACUGGUCCCAUCCCGGUAUGGUGCUGGUGCCCCAAAUGGACCCAAGUGUCCCAUCCCAGUAUCACCCCAGUCUCCAGUUGUCCCUUCCCAGUACCCCCCCAGUCUGCAAAUAUCCCAUCCCAGUAUGACCCCAGUUCCCAAAUGUCCCCUCCCAGUAUGACCCCAGUCCCCACAGGUCCCAUCCCAGUAUCACCCCAGUCUCCAGUUGUCCCUUCCCAGUAUCCCCCCAGUCUGCAAAUGUCCCAUCCCAGUAUGACCCCAGUCCCCAAAUGUCCCAUCCCAGUACCACCCAGUCCCCACUGGUCCCAUCCCAGUAUCACUCCAGUCCCAAAUGUCCCCUCCCAGUAUGACCCCAGUCCCCAUAGAUCCCAUCCCAGUAUCACCCCAGCCUCCAGUUGUCCCUUCCCAGUAUCCCCCCAUUCUGCAAAUGUCCCGUCCCAGUAUCACCCUAGCCCCCCAACAUCCCAUCCCAGUACCCCCCCAGUCCCCAAAUGUCCCCUCCCAGUACCACCCAGUCCCCACAGAUCCCAUCCCAGUACCAAGCCAGUGGCCCAAAUGGACCCAAAGGCCCCAUCCCAGUAUCACUCCAGUGCCCCCAUG